rnacentral:rRNA from 1 species
CAGCAGCCGCCGUAAUACGUAGGGUGCGAGCGUUAAUCGGAUUUACUGGGCGUAAAGCGUGCGCAGGCGGCCCGUUAAGACAGGUGUGAAAUCCCUGGGCUCAACCUAGGAAUUGCGCUUGUGACUGGCGGGCUCGAGUACGGUAGAGGGGGGUGGAAUUCCUGGUGUAGCAGUGAAAUGCGUAGAGAUCAGGAGGAACACCGAUGGCGAAGGCAGCCCCCUGGGCCUGUACUGACGCUCAUGCACGAAAGCGUGGGGAGCAAACAGGAUUAGAUACCCUGGUAGUCCACGCCCUAAACGAUGGGUACUAGCCGUUUGGUGCGCGAUAGCGCUGAGUGGCGAAGCUAACGCGUGAAGUACCCCGCCUGGGGAGUACGGCCGCAAGGUUGAAACUUAAAGGAAUUGGCGGG